AGAGUUUGAUCAUGGCUCAGAUUGAACGCUGGCGGCAGGCUUAACACAUGCAAGUCGAACGGUAACAGGAGAAAGCUUGCUUUCUUGCUGACGAGUGGCGGACGGGUGAGUAAUGCUUGGGAAUCUGGCUUAUGGAGGGGGAUAACUACGGGAAACUGUAGCUAAUACCGCGUAAUAUCUUCGGAUUAAAGGGUGGGACUUUCGGGCCACCUGCCAUAAGAUGAGCCCAAGUGGGAUUAGGUAGUUGGUGGGGUAAAGGCCUACCAAGCCGACGAUCUCUAGCUGGUCUGAGAGGAUGACCAGCCACACUGGAACUGGGACACGGUCCAGACUCCUACGGGAGGCAGCAGUGGGGAAUAUUGCACAAUGGGGGGAACCCUGAUGCAGCCAUGCCGCGUGAAUGAAGAAGGCCUUCGGGUUGUAAAGUUCUUUCGGUGAUGAGGAAGGUGUUUGUUUUAAUAGAACAAGCAAUUGACGUUAGUCACAGAAGAAGCACCGGCUAACUCCGUGCCAGCAGCCGCGGUAAUACGGAGGGUGCGAGCGUUAAUCGGAAUGACUGGGCGUAAAGGGCACGCAGGCGGUGACUUAAGUGAGAUGUGAAAGCCCCGAGCUUAACUUGGGAAUUGCAUUUCAUACUGGGUCGCUAGAGUAUUUUAGGGAGGGGUAGAAUUCCACGUGUAGCGGUGAAAUGCGUAGAGAUGUGGAGGAAUACCGAAGGCGAAGGCAGCCCCUUGGGAAUAUACUGACGCUCAUGUGCGAAAGCGUGGGGAGCAAACAGGAUUAGAUACCCUGGUAGUCCACGCUGUAAACGCUGUCGAUUUGGGGAUUGGGCUUAGAGCUUGGUGCCCGUAGCU
rnacentral:rRNA from 1 species